UGUUGCGGUAAAAAGCUCGUAGUUAGAUUUCUGUUGAGGACGACCGGUCCGUACCACGUACGCCCAUCUGGUUCGGCCUCGGCAUCCUCUCGAUAGACGUUUCUGCGCUUGAUUGCGUGGAGCGGAUUUCGGGACUUUUACUUUGAGGAAAUUAGAGUGUUCACGGCAGGCUAUCGCCAGAAUACAUUAGCAUGGAAUAAUACUAUAGGAUCUCGGUUCUAUUUUGUUGGUUUCUAGACCCGGGGUAAUGAUUAAUAGGGACAAUUGGGGGCAUUUGUAUCAACACGUCAGAGGUGGAAUUCUUGGAUUGUGUUGCGACAAACUACUGCGAAAGCAUUUGCCAAGGAUGUUUUCAUUGAUCAAGAACGAAAGUAAGGGGAUCGAAGACGAUUAGAUACCGUCGUAUUUUUUACCAUAAACUAUGCCGACUAGAAAUGGGGCAUCGUUCACUUACGACUUGCUCCGCGUCUUAUGAGAUAUCAAAGUCUUUGGGUUCCGGGGGGAGUAUGGUCGCAAGUCUGAAACUUAAAGGAAUUGACGGAAGGGCACCACCAGGAGUGGAGCCUGCGGCUUAAUUUGACUCAACACGGGGAAACUCACCAGGUCCAGACAUAAUAAGGAUUGACAGAUUGAUAGCUCUUUCUUGAUUUUAUGGGUGGUGGUGCAUGGCCGUUCUUAGUUCGUGGAGUGAUUUGUCUGCUUAAUUGCGUUAACGAACGAGACCUUAACCUGCUAAAUAGGAGCGCCUAUCUCCGGAUAAGCGCCUUUCUUCUUAGAGGGACUGCAUGCGUUUCAGUAUGCGGAAGUUUGAGGCUAAAACAGGUCUGUGAUGCCCUUAGAUGUUCUGGGCUGCACGCGCGCUACACUGAUGCGUUCAACGAGUGUACAACCUUGCCCGAUAGGGUUGGAUAACCUUUUGAACACGCAUCGUGAUGGGGAUUGAGUAUUGCAAUUAUUACUCA
rnacentral:rRNA from 1 species